CGAUCCUUAUUUAGCAUUGUCAACACUUUAAUUUGAGUUUUCUUGUAUUUACUUAUUUUACUUUUAUUUUCCCCAUCAUUUUGGGUUUUUACCACCUUAUUCUUUUACCCCAAAUUUAUCUGCCCAAAGCUGAGCCUUCUCCUUCACACGCAAAACUCAGCUUUUCCUCUUUCCUUGUUCACGUCAGAGUUGGACAGAGAGAAAGGGAGCCUCGUUCAGCUCUUCCCCUCCACGUUUCCAUCAUGCAAAGGGCAACUCCUCCAAGAACAUCAUCUCAGACCUUCAAAAGAGAGAACCCAGGCCAUAAAUCGUCAUUCACCCUUCUCUUCUCACCUUUCCUCUCGUCCCUGGACACAUCAGUCCGUUUACGAGCCCAAAAACACCUAGUUAGAGACCUCCGAUGAAAAAACUUUCUUCAUCAAAGUUGUUCGCCUAUGUCUCCUCUAUCUAGCCUCCAAAUAUCAGCUCCAUCGGAAUUGAUUUGAGACCUGUACACCCCUCGAAGCGGAAGCUGUUCCGGAGCAAGCCUGUUCCGGAUUUCUGCUUAAACUUCCUCUCUUGCUCUACCCGAAUCCCCAACACCUUGCUUGAGACUGAUACCAACAGUUGUCUCUGUUUCACUUUGCAUGUUCGAGAUUGAGCAAACUUCUUGGCCUGUGGCUGGACUCGAUCCAAUCAGCUCCUUCAGCUCUCUUUCCUGUUGAAAUCCUCAAGAGAAGCUCAUCUUUUUUUGUUAGUUUUUGGCUUGACAUCGUGGUGGAAUCUUGUGAAGUGGUGGUUGCUACAAGGUUGCAUUGAGGCCAAGUGCUGCAAGAGAAAGCUCGAGUUCCAGGAGAGGUCAGUUCCUCCUUGAGCCACCGGUGGUGGGCAGUGUGCACCAUGCCCUUGUUAUCUCCCCUUUGUCUCUAGCCUUGUGAUUAAUGAAUUCCGGAAAGUGAUUGGCUAGAUGGACGGUUGUGAUGGAAGUGUGAAAGAUGAUCAAUUGCCGUGGGAUUGUAGUUACGUGGUGACGAUCACGUGGAAGCGCAAACCGGUUUUAUCUACUUCUUUUAUUCAAAACAAUAACUCAUGUUUUUAAACUUAGAUAUGGGGGCGGGCAUGGGCAAUGACUGGAUGUAGGAGCCUAACCCCUACUUUAGUUUGUUUUGCAGGCUGUGUUGUUGAAGCUUGGGCACGGAGGAUAAUCCUUGGAGGACACAAUUUGUUUUACUCUAUUUAAAGUUUAUUUCCUUUCGGCUUGCUUGAUUUCACUAAAGUUUUGUAACAUUAUGUAUGGUUGAUGAUG